GACGAACGCUGGCGGCGUGCUUAACACAUGCAAGUCGAACGGAGUGGCGAACGGGUGAGUAACACGUGGGUGACCUGCCCUGCACUUCGGGAUAAGCCUGGGAAACUGGGUCUAAUAACGGAAAGUGUGGGAUGGGCCCGCGGCCUAUCAGCUUGUUGGUGGGGUAACGGCCUCCCAAGGCGGCGACGGGUAGCCGGCCGGAGAGGGUGGACGGCCACAUUGGUCCUGAGACAUGGCCCAGACUCCUACGGGAUGCAGCUGUGUGGAAUAUGGCACAAUGGGCGGAAGCCUGAUGCAGCGACGCCGCGUGGGGGAUUACGGCCUUCGGGUUGUAAACUCCUUUCACCAUCGACGCGGUAGUGGCAGAAGAAGCACCGGCUAACUACGUGCCAGCAGCCGCGGUAAUAC
rnacentral:rRNA from 1 species